UACGUAGAUGGCAAGCGUUGUCCGGAUUUACUGGGCGUAAAGAGCGCGCAGGCGGUCGUUCAAGUCGAGUGUGAAAGCCCCCGGCUCAACUGGGGAGGGUCACGCGAUACUGAUCGACUCGAAGGCAGGAGAGGGAAGUGGAAUUCCCGGUGUAGUGGUGAAAUGCGGAGAUAUCGGGAGGAACACCAGUGGCGAAGGCGACUUCCUGGCCUGUUCUUGACGCUGAGGCGCGAAAGCUAGGGGAGCAAACGGG
rnacentral:rRNA from 1 species